rnacentral:lncRNA from 1 species
UCAUCUUCUCUCACAGGAGCCACAAACCACUGUGGUACACAACGCUACAGAUGGGAUCAAGGCUCCACAGAGAGCUGCAACACCACCACAGAAGAUGAGGACCUCAAACUGCCCCGCUCCGCACUGGGAAUGGCAGCUCGGUGCCUGAAGGACGGAGCUCCCGGGACAGAACAGCCCCCUCUGCAGGCAUGCAGCCCCAGCCUUCUCUCUGCUCCUCAGCCUGCGAAAACAGGAGAUCAUUAA